rnacentral:rRNA from 1 species
AUUGAACGCUGGCGGCAUGCUUUACACAUGCAAGUCGAACGGUAACAGGCCUUCGGGUGCUGACGAGUGGCGAACGGGUGCGUAAUGCAUCGGAACGUACCCAGAGGUGGGGGAUAACGCAGCGAAAGCUGUGCUAAUACCGCAUGUGAUCUGAGGAUGAAAGCGGGGGACCGAGCAGCAAUGUUUGGCCUCGCGCCUUUGGAGCGGCCGAUGUCGGAUUAGCUAGUUGGUGGGGUAAAGGCCUACCAAGGCGACGAUCCGUAGCUGGUCUGAGAGGACGACCGGCCACACUAGGACUGAGACACGGCCCAGACUCCUACGGGAGGCAGCAGUGGGGAAUUUUGGACAAUGGGCGCAAGCCUGAUCCAGCAAUGCCGCGUGCGGGAAGAAGGCCUUCGGGUUGGAAACCGCUUUUGGCAGGAACGAAACGGUGUCCGCUAAUACCGGGCGCUAAUGACGGUACCUGCAGAAUAAGCACCGGCUAACUACGUG